rnacentral:rRNA from 1 species
UACGUAGGGGGCAAGCGUUGUCCGGAAUCAUUGGGCGUAAAGAGCGUGUAGGCGGCUUGGCAAGUCUGACGUGAAAGCCCGCGGCUCAACCGCGGAUUGUCGUUGGAAACUGCCUCGCUAGAGUCCGGAAGAGGAAAGCGGAAUACCUGGUGUAGAGGUGAAAUUCGUAGAUAUCAGGUGGAACACCAGUGGCGAAGGCGGCUCACUGGCCCGGUACUGACGCUGAGGUGCGAAAGCGUGGGGGAGCAAACAGG